rnacentral:rRNA from 1 species
UACGGGGGGAGCAAGCGUUGUUCGGAUUUACUGGGCGUAAAGGGCGCGUAGGCGGCCACCGCAAGUCAGUUGUGAAAUCUCUGGGCUUAACCCAGAAAGGUCAACUGAUACUGCGGGGCUAGAGUGCAGAAGGGGCAACUGGAAUUCUCGGUGUAGCGGUGAAAUGCGUAGAUAUCUGGAGGAACACCGGUGGCGAAGGCGGCGUUCUGGACUGCAACUGACACUGAGGAACGAAAGCCAGGGGAGCAAACGGG